CCUACGGGAGGCAGCAGUGAGGAAUAUUGGUCAAUGGGCGCGAGCCUGAACCAGCCAAGUAGCGUGAAGGAUGACUGCCCUACGGGUUGUAACCUUCUUUUAUAAAGGAAUAAAGUGAGGCUCGUGUGCCUUUUUGUAUGUACUUUAUGAAUAAGGAUCGGCUAACUCAGUGCUAGCAGCCGCGGUAAGACGGAGGAUCCGAGCGUUAUCCGGGUUUAUUGGGUUUAAAGGGAGCGUAGAUGGGUUGGUAAGUUAGUUGUGAAAGUUUGCGGCUCAACCGUAAAAUUGCAAUUGAUACUGGCAGCCUUGAGUACAGUUGAGGUAGGAGGAAUUCGUGGUGUAGCGGUGAAAUGCUUAGAUAUCACGAAGAACUCCGAUGGCGAAGGCAGCUUACUAAACUGCCACUGACAUUGAGGCUCGAAAGUGUGGGUAUCAAACAGGAUUAGAUACCCUGGUAGUC
rnacentral:rRNA from 1 species